CGCUUAUAGUGCUCCCCGAAGGACACCAGCCCGAUGGAGAUGGUCUGCAGGAAUGGCCGGAUGGCAGGCGUGAACUGUGGAGAGAUGCCGCUGUGUCACCCACUGCCCAGGAAGGACCGGAGGCAGGCAGGAGUGAGGGGCAGAGACGUGGUUUGUGGGGAGGCGUGGUCAUUCAACACACAUUUAGUGAGCUCC
rnacentral:lncRNA from 1 species